AUUGAACGCUGGCGGCAGGCCUAACACAUGCAAGUCGAACGAGUGGCGGACGGGUGAGUAAUGUCUGGGAAACUGCCCGUGGGAGGGGGAUAACUACUGGAAACGGUAGCUAAUACCGCAUACCAUCGGAUGUGCCCAGAUGGGAUUAGCUAGUAGGGUGGGUAACUGCUCACCUAGGCGACGAUCCCUAGCUGGACUGAGAGUAUGACCAGCCACACGGGAACGGAGACACGGUCCAGCCGCCUACGGGAGGCAUCAGUGGGGAAUAUUGGACAAUGGGCGAAAGCCUGAUGCAGCCAUGCCGCGUGUAUGAAGAAGGCUUUCGGGUUGUAAAGUACUGUCAGCGAGGAGGCGUUACUCGCAGAAGAAGCACCGGCUAACUCCGUGCCAGCAGCCGCGGUAAUAC
rnacentral:rRNA from 1 species